CUCGAUUCUCAGGUUUUGGGCAGUGAGCAGGGAUGGAUGUGGAGAAGGCUGCGCCCAAGGGACAUGGAUUCUUCGGCCUCUUUGACUGGGGCAAGAGCAAGAAGUCCAAGAGGCGGCUGUUCACCGGGAGCGGGGGCUAUUCGCCAGCGCAGGGGAGUUCUGUAGAUGGGAAGGAAACUGAUGGCAGCGUGCCAAGUACGC